GCAUUAAUGGGGUAGUGGUAACCUGGGUCGUUGCCAUGGGUUAUUGGCAUUGAAGUCUCGACCCGCCGGGGGUUCAAUUCCCCCUUAAUGCA